UCUAGACUUACCAGGUUUCAACAACAUCUAGUUCAAAAUGGCACUGUCCCCUCUGAAACAAGAAAACACUGGAGUGCAGAAAACAGCAGGAUGUGAUGAGGCAGACAAAAGAAUCCAGGUUGGUGCCUGAAACUCAUCCCUGCUCUGCCUCUGGUGAGCAACAGUAGAAAAAGUCUACAACCCUUCUUUUCUACACCAUCUACAGAGGGAGUGUGUGCUGAUAAGAGGGACAUCAAGCCAAAACAACUGCUGGAGGUGUUCAAGAAUGUUUCUUAAGGUGAAGGCCCAUCUACUUCGUACUCUUCAGGCUCAGCAGACAGAUAAGGCUCUUCUGGAUGCAGAGCUCACGAGCUGAAUUUGGAAAUCUGAAGCAAAAUGAACAUUCGUCUGAUCUCUU
ensembl:lncRNA